rnacentral:misc_RNA from 1 species
CCAAUAGCGUAUAUUAAAGUUGUUGCAGUUAAAAAGCUCGUAGUUGAAUUUCGAGACCGGCUUACUGGUCGUGCUUUUGUACGUACUGGUAUAAUCGGUUUCUCCUUUCUGACGAACUAUAAUGCCAUUAAUUUGGUGUUAUAGGGAAUCAGGACUGUUACUUUGAAAAAAUUAGAGUGUUUAAAGCAGGCUCACGCUUGAAUACAUUAGCAUGGAAUAACGGAAUAGGACGUUUGAUUCUAUUUUGUUGGUUUCUAGGAUCGACGUAAUGAUUAAUAGGGAUAGUUGGGGGCAUUAGUAUUCAAUUGUCAGAGGUGAAAUUCUUGGAUUUAUUGAAGACUAACUACUGCGAAAGCAUUUGCCAAGGAUGUUUUCAUUAAUCAAGAACGAAAGUUAGGGGAUCGAAGACGAUCAGAUACCGUCGUAGUCUUAACCAUAAACUAUGCCGACUAGGGAUCGGAUGAUGUUAAUUUUUUAAUGACUCAUUCGGCGCCUUACGGGAAACCAAAGUGUUUGGGUU